rnacentral:rRNA from 1 species
GGGGGCAACCCCUUGAGAGUGGCGAACGGGUGAGUAAUAUAUCGGAACGUGCCCAGUCGUGGGGGAUAACGUAGUGAAAAUUACGCUAAUACCGCAUACGAUCUAAGGAUGAAAGCGGGGGAUCGCAAGACCUCGCGCGACUGGAGCGGCCGAUAUCAGAUUAGGUAGUUGGUAGGGUAAAGGCCUACCAAGCCAACGAUCUGUAGCUGGUCUGAGAGGACGACCAGCCACACUGGAACUGAGACACGGUCCAGACUCCUACGGGAGGCAGCAGUGGGGAAUUUUGGACAAUGGGCGAAAGCCUGAUCCAGCCAUUCCGCGUGCAGGAUGAAGGCCCUCGGGUUGUAAACUGCUUUUGUACAGAACGAAAAGGUUUCUAUUAAUACUAGGAGCUCAUGACGGUACUGUAAGAAUAAGCACCGGCUAACUACGUGCCAGCAGCCGCGGUAAUACGUAGGGUGCAAGCGUUAAUCGGAAUUACUGGGCGUAAAGCGUGCGCAGGCGGUUAUAUAAGUCAGAUGUGAAAUCCCCGGGCUCAACCUGGGAACUGCAUUUGAGACUGUAUAGCUAGAGUACGGUAGAGGGGGAUGGAAUUCCGCGUGUAGCAGUGAAAUGCGUAGAUAUGCGGAGGAACACCGAUGGCGAAGGCAAUCCCCUGGACCUGUACUGACGCUCAUGCACGAAAGCGUGGGGAGCAAACAGGAUUAGAUACCCUGGUAGUCCACGCCCUAAACGAUGUCAACUGGUUGUUGGGUCUUAACUGACUCAGUAACGAAGCUAACGCGUGAAGUUGACCGCCUG